AUGAUCCAGCUGCUGUUCACGCUGCUGGCCGCCGAGGCAGCGCUGGUGCUCGUGCUGCUCUUCCGCACGCCCGCUCGACGCCUCGCGCUGCUCGCCGUGGACUGCAGCAAGCGCGGCCGCGGGCCCCUAAUGGCCAGGACCGUCGCGGCCACCAUGUUCGUCGUGCUCGGCUCCAGCGGCUACAGCAUCGCCAAGAUCCGGCGCCGCGAAGGCGAGUUCGCCCAGCUCACGCCCACAGACCAGGUGCUCGCCAGCCGCCACCUCCUCGAGGCCUCGCUCAUGGGAUACUCUCUGUUUCUUGGGCUAAUUAUUGAUCGACUGCAUCACUAUAUCAGGCAAUUACGGGCGAUGAAGAAAAACAUGGAGGCUGUGACAAAGCAGAGCAGGGUCUUGGAAGAAACAAAACUCGGAGACUCUGAGGAAAUUCAAGGAUAUCAGAAAAAGAUUGACAGUUUGAAUGAACAGGUGCAAGUACUCAAACACCAGUCAGAAUCUCAAACACAGGAGCUAAAAACUGCUGAAAUGAAUAAUUUGGCUUUACAAAAACAAUCUGAAGGUUUGCUUACUGAAUAUGAGCGUCUAAUUGCGGAGAAUGAGGAAUUGAGGAAUAAGCUGCAAACAAUGGACCUCCGCUUCUCCCGUUCUGACAGCAAGAAAAAUACAUAG
rnacentral:rRNA from 1 species